rnacentral:lncRNA from 1 species
CAGACCCAGGACGGAGCUAUUGGCACCAUGAACCCAGUGCUGCAUGCCAUCACCCCCACCCUCACCCCCGCCACUUCACCCUCAGUGCACACCACGAGCUGCCAUUUUGUACUCUGUAUUCCGGGGCUGCUUCUGAUUAGUUUGUCCUGGAGACCCGAUGGAACACCAGGGUGUAUGAUGGGCAGUGAAGAGGCAGGAUAUCACCCCCCCGGGUGAGUUCCUCUUUGCCUUCUAAGCCAGAUGCCUGAAAGAGAUAUGGAUGAGGGAAGUUGGACUGUGUCUGUGCCUGGUAUAGUGAUACUCUGUU